rnacentral:ribozyme from 1 species
AUUUCUAUUAUAUGUCUAUUAUUGAUUUCUUCUAUUUUUAUGAAUUGAUGGUUAAAAAAAAAAAAAAA